rnacentral:lncRNA from 10 species
AUGCUUAGGCAAAGCAGGCACCAGAACAUUCCUCCAGAGCUUCACUGGAGCCCUCCUCUUCAGCAUGACGGUUCCCGGCCACCUGAUCCAGAGCUGGCGGCUCCCAGGCAUAGCCCAUCCCUGCUGCGGCCCUGCACUACCCCAGUCCUCACCUGCACGCAGGGGACUGUUCACAUGCUGACCGUCUGUCCAUCUCCUGUAAGGACGUCGGCUCCUUCCAUGUCUGCUGGGCUGAGGAUCCCUCACAGCCUCCCUGACCUCAGAGCCAUGAAAGACUUGCAAGGCUUGAAGCAAACUCUGAACGGACCCUUCACAGAUAAAUUCUACCAGCAUGAUUAUACACAUCGAAACCCUCAGGGGUCAGCGCUAAGUGUCUGCAUAGACGUACCCAAACACCCGGGGCCUGGCAUUCCAAUAAACCCUCUGGACAGAGCGGCAUCUCCUCUUCACACAGUGAAACUAACUGCACCUCUUCUCCUCCUGGAUGUGCAAGCGUCCACAAACAGAUUUGCAACCUCAGAGGCGCAGACACCCGGCUGGGCCACGCUAUCGAUCCCCCAGAGACCCCGAAGCAAUUACAGCCACUGCAUCGCAGCAGCCCGGCGCCCUUGGGGGCUGCUUCAGACGGCGGGCCCCCGCGGAGCUCAUUCCAGGGGCUCAGGCCCUCCCGGGUGAGAGCACCGUCGCAG